GACGAACGCUGGCGGCGUGCUUAACACAUGCAAGUCGAACGGAAAGGCCCUUCGGGGUACUCGAGUGGCGAACGGGUGAGUAACACGUGGGUGAUCUGCCCUGCACUUUGGGAUAAGCCUGGGAAACUGGGUCUAAUACCGAAUAGGACCACGCGCUUCAUGGUGUGUGGUGGAAAGCUUUUGCGGUGUGGGAUGGGCCGGCGGCCUAUCAGCUUGUUGGUGGGGUAAUGGCGUACCAAGGCGACGACGGGUAGCCGGCCUGAGAGGGUGACCGGCCACACUGGGACUAAGAUACGGACCAGACUCCAACGGGAGGCAGCAGUGGGGAAUAUUGCACAAUGGGCGCAAGCCUGAUGCAGAGACGCCGCGUGAGGGAUGACGGCCUUCGGGUUGUAAACCUCUUUCAAUAGGGACGAAGCGCAAGUGACGGUACCUAUAGAAGAAGCACCGGCCAACUACGUG
rnacentral:rRNA from 1 species